GAUGAAGAACGCAGCGAAAUGCGAUAAUUAAUGUGAAUUGCAGAAUUCCGUGAAUCAUCGAGUCUUUGAACGCACAUUGCGCCUCAUGGCAUUCCGUGAGGCAUGCCCAUCUCAGCGUUAGAAAAUAUUCUCAAAUUUUAGUUUUGUGCUAAAAUUUGGAUCAUGUCAAGGAAGCUAUUACUAUCAUUGUGAUCGCUCUUUGGAAAUUGAUAGGUCUUUGAGUUGCUACUCAUAGAACGUGAUGAAUCUUUCUUCGUUCUAUUGUAAUUCACUCUGGUAGUCCUAAAACUUGUAUGCCUGUGGCAUAUCUUGUAAUUUGACCUGAGAUUGGGUAGGGAUACCCGCUGAACUUAAGCAUAUCAAUAAGCGGAGGA
rnacentral:misc_RNA from 1 species